UCCUAGCUGGCUCAGUUGGUAGAGUGUGUGACUCCUGCUCUCAGGGUUGUGAGUUCGAAUCCCAUGCUGGGUG